AGGCUAGCGUCUGUUCUGACAGUGGAGCUCUCCCAACACCGAAACAGACUGAGAAAAAAAAAAAAAAAAUCAUACCACUACGCAAAUCCUUCCAAUGGAGGAGGGCCAGGACGUCGAAGCUUUUUCGGCAAAUGAAAAGAACGUCUGCAAGCUAGCAACCUAGCCCAACUAAAGGGAGAGGAAACAAAAGUUAUUCUUGUGCAGUGAACUUGUGGACCCUUCUUUCUCUUUCCAGUUCCAGCCCCUGCUCUAUGGCCUUAAGAAAAAUGCAGUGUUGCCCGUUACCCUGGCCCCGAAAGACCCAACAUCGUCGGCGGUAACUGCUCUGCCACCUGUCUCACCUGGCCCCGGUAAAAUGCCUAAUCCUGUCCAUCUUCAGCAGCGAUGGCCUCAUCUGAUUCUGAACCUGAGCCAGAGCCUACCACAUACAAAAAGGCCAAAAUAUACACUAC